rnacentral:rRNA from 1 species
AGUGAACGCUGGCGGUAGGCCUAACACAUGCAAGUCGAACGGCAGCACAGUAAGAGCUUGCUCUUACGGGUGGCGAGUGGCGGACGGGUGAGGAAUACAUCGGAAUCUACUUUUUCGUGGGGGAUAACGUAGGGAAACUUACGCUAAUACCGCAUACGACCUACGGGUGAAAGCAGGGGAUCUUCGGACCUUGCGCGAUUGAAUGAGCCGAUGUCGGAUUAGCUAGUUGGCGGGGUAAAGGCCCACCAAGGCGACGAUCCGUAGCUGGUCUGAGAGGAUGAUCAGCCACACUGGAACUGAGACACGGUCCAGACUCCUACGGGAGGCAGCAGUGGGGAAUAUUGGACAAUGGGCGCAAGCCUGAUCCAGCCAUACCGCGUGGGUGAAGAAGGCCUUCGGGUUGUAAAGCUCUUUUGUUGGGAAAGAAAAGCAGCAGGUUAAUACCCCGCUGUUCUGACGGUACCCAAAGAAUAAGCACCGGCUAACUUCG